AUUGAACGCUGGCAGCAUGCCUUACACAUGCAAGUCGAAUGGCAGCACGGGAGCAAUCCUGGUGGCGAGUGGCGAACGGGUGAGUAAAGUAUCGGAACGUGCCCAGUCGUGGGGGAUAACGUAGCGAAAGCUACGCUAAUACCGCAUACGAUCUAUGGAUGAAAGCGGGGGAUCGCAAGACCUCGCGCGAUUGGAGCGGCCGAUAUCAGAUUAGGUAGUUGGUGGGGUAAAGGCCCACCAAGCCGACGAUCUGUAGCUGGUCUGAGAGGACGACCAGCCACACUGGGACUGAGACACGGCCCAGACUCCUACGGGAGGCAGCAGUGGGGAAUUUUGGACAAUGGGCGCAAGCCUGAUCCAGCAAUGCCGCGUGCAGGAUGAAGGCCUUCGGGUUGUAAACUGCUUUUGUACGGAGCGAAAAGGCUCUCUCUAAUACAGGGGGCUCAUGACGGUACCGUAAGAAUAAGCACCGGCUAACUACGUGCCAGCCGCCGCAGUAACAC
rnacentral:rRNA from 1 species